GAUUCAUAUAAAAAAUUAUGCUUCAAUAUUUAGGGCCAAAAAGAAAUGUCAGAUGUACCAAUGUGUAAAUUUACUUUAUUAAGUUUAUACUCAGCUGAUUUAUACUUUCACUGACUAAAUAAUUGUGUUUUAAAAAUCCACUUUUUGUUUGGUUUAGUUGUUCCAAAUUUCUUGAAGAAGUCUAUUUUUUUAGCGCCUAAAAGGCCAAGUGAGCUUUUCUCAUUACUAGGUGUCCUAUUCCGUCGUCUGUUAAUUUUUACAAAAUUCUUCUCUGAAACUACUGUGCCAAAUUUAACCAAACUUGGCCACAAUCAUCAUUGGGAUAUCUAGUAUAAAAAAUGUGUCUGAUGACCCCGCCAGACACCAAGAUGGCCGACAUGGCUAAAAAUAGAACAAAGGGGUAAAAUGCAAGUUUUGCCUAUUUUGAAAACCGCUAUAUAUAGAGAGAAUCUGACAAGGGUAAAUUAUAAUAGAUAUACAGAAACUUUAAAUAGCAAAAAUGAUCAAUAAGACAAGAUGUACAAAAAAGUCAACAUGGCCGAAAUUUUCAUUCGACUCUUCAUUAGAGUUAUUGCCCUAUAAUGACGAUUUUUACGAUUUUUAUACGACCGCAAAAAAAUUUUUGUGGUCGUAUAUUGGUAUGACGUUGGCGUCGUCGUCGUCCGAAGACACAUUAGUUUUCGCGCUCUAACUUUAGUUUAAGUGAAUGGAUCUCAAUGAAAUUUUACCAUAAGGUUCAAUACCACAAAAGGAAGGUGGGGAUUGAUUUUGGGGGUUAUGGUACCAACAGUUAAGGAAAAAGGGGCCAAAAAUAAGCAUUUUUGUAACUUCCAGACAUAACUUGUGUGUUAGUGUAUGGAUCUCUCUGACAUUGUACCACAAGGUUCCAUAUCACAAAGGGAAUGCUGGGAUUGAUUUUGGGGGUAAUUGCCUCCAAAUUUUAGGAAUUAGGGGCCAAAAAGGGGCAAAAAACAAGCAUUUUUCUAGUUUCAUGACAAUAACUUGUGUGUAAGUGUAUGGAUCUUUAUGAAAUUGUACUACAAGGUUCCAUAUCACAAAGGGAAAGCUGGAAUUGAGUUUGGGGGUAAUUACCCAAAAAGUUUAGGAAUAAGGGGCCAAAAAGGGGCCAAAAUAAGCAUUUUUCUAGUUUCCAGACAAUAACUUGUGUUCAAGUAUAUGGAUCUCUCUGAAAUUGUACUGCAAGGUACCAUACCACAAAGGGACGGCUGGGAUUGAUUUUUGGGGUUAUUCCCUCAAAAUUUUAGUAAUUAGGGGCCAUAAAAGGGCAAAAAAACAAGCAUUUUUCUAGUUUCAGGACAAUAACUUGUGUGUAAGUGUAUGGAUCUUUAUGAAAUUGUACUGCAAGGUUCCAUAUCAUAAAGGGAAAGCUGGGUUUGAGUUUGGGGGUACCGGUAAUUGCCCUAAACAUUUUUUCUAGGAAUUUGGGGCCAAAAAGGGGCCAAAAAACAAGCAUUUUUCUAGUUUCCAGACAAUAACUUGUGUUCAAGUGUAUGGAUCUCUCUGAAAUUGUACUGCAAGGUACCAUACCACAAGGGGAAAGCUGGGAUUGAGUUUGGCGGUGAUGAAUCAUAAGGGGGUUCAAAAAUUUGGGGCGGGGGGAUUUUUUUUUCCUUUAUUUUCUUUAAAAUUUUCCAUUUUAAAUUGGUUAUUUCUGAUUUAUAUAUAAAAGCAAAUAAUAAUGAUAUGGUUUGAAUAGGUAAAUUAAAAAUUUUUAAGUUCUUAGACCACUUUCAUUCUGUGUCAGAAACCUAUGCUGUGUCAAAUAUUUAAUUACAAUCCAAAUUCAGUGCUGUAUCAAGCUUGAAUGUUGUGUCUAACUUGCCCCAACUGUUCAGGGUUUGACCUCUGCGGUCGUAUCAAGCUGCGCCCCAGCGGAGCAUUUUAUUUGCGUUUUUGCCUAAUAUCUUAAAAACUAUAUUAGAUACACAGAAACUUUAAAAAGCAAAAAUGACCAGAAAGACAAGAUCUAAAAAUAAGUCAAAUGUCUGAAAUUGUUAGUUGACUUUUUAUUGAAGUUAUUGCCCUUUAAUGAAGAUUUUUCCCUUUUUUGCCUUAUAUCUUGAAAACUGUAAUCGAUAUAUAGAAACUUUAAACAGCACAAAUGAUCAGCAAGACAAGAUCCACAAAUGAGCCAUAAUGGCCGAAAACUAAAGUCAACUCGUUAUUGGAGUUAUCGCCCUCUAAUGUAAUUAGAUUUGUGGAUUUUUUUGCAUUUUUAACCAGAUUUCGAAGGAAAAAUCGGUUAUUGAUUUGGGGAUGUACGGCAGUCGGGCGGGAAGCUGCCAAACAGUGUCCGUUCAUUAACAUGAAAACGCUUUGACGAAAUCUUUUCAAAUUUAGAUAUGUUGUUUCCUGUGACUAAAUGAAGGUCAAGUUCAACAGAAUAGCUGUUCUCGUUGUUGAGUUGUAGACCUUUCAGUAGCAAAAGUGAUACUUAUUAUUUGAUUUAUUUAUUUUGAGUUAUUUCCCUUUGAACAGAAAUGGUGUAAUUAAUAAGUAUAUGGACAGAUAGUCUAUCAAUGAUUGUAUCUGUUUGAUUCAUGCAAUAAUUUCCACCUUUUAUCAAGAUAACAAACAUGUGGUAAUUAUCAACUAACAAAAUUAUAAUUGGAAUGACAGUUUUAUUUGAAAAUUUAAUGUUUCCUAAGUGUUGUUGAUGAUAAACUCUGUAGGACGGUAUAAAUAUAGUUUAAAAUUUACUGCUCAUUAUUAUAAAUUUUGAAAUUAAUUACAGAUAAGUUUUAUCAUGUUUAUAGAUUAUUAUUAAUUAUUAUUAUAGUAUUAAUGAUGAAUGAUAUUUUGGAAAUUUGUUUUUUCUUUUUUUAUUUGGUAAAUGUUUUGAAGAAUUUUGUGGUAGGCUUGUUUGUUAUUCUGUAUGAACUAAUUUUCUGAAUGCUAUAUAUAUA